ensembl:lincRNA
GAGGGGCGUGGAGGAGAGCAGGGGCCGUGUGUGCUACUCCCCGCAGGUGCGAGCCGAGAUGGGCCUGGUCCUCCAGGGAUGCCUGCUCCUGUGGAGUCUCCGAGGCGCACUCACCCAGGCCGCCCAUGCCGGGAUCACGGCCAGGGUCACUCAGCGGGCGCUGGACUAUGGUGUCCAAGCUGGGAUGGAGAUGAUGGAACAAAUUAUAAAAGAAAAGCACAUCCCAGAUUUAAAAGGCUCUGAGACGCUCGAAUUCCUGAAGAUCGAUUAUGUGAACUACAAUUUUUCAAAGUAAGUAAAAGAGCCCUCUUCCUUCCACGUGGGAGGCUCCGGGGGAACACCGGAUGUCUAUUCUCAUGACUGCCUCAUGGCCCAACGUGGCUGCUGUAGUUACAGUCCUCAGAUCCAUGUUUCAUGCAGCUGGGAAGAGGAAGUGCAAGGGUAAAA